GAUGAACGCUAGCUACAGGCUUAACACAUGCAAGUCGCGGGGCAGCAUGGGGGUUGCUUGCCAUCCCUGAUGGCGACCGGCGCACGGGUGAGUAACGCGUAUCCAACCUGCCCUUCACCACGGGAUAACCCGGCGAAAGUCGGACUAAUACCGUAUGUUGUCCAUUGACGGCAUCCGAUUUGGACGAAAGGCUUAGCGGUGAGGGAUGGGGAUGCGUCCGAUUAGCUUGACGGCGGGGUAACGGCCCACCGUGGCUACGAUCGGUAGGGGUUCUGAGAGGAAGGUCCCCCACACUGGAACUGAGACACGGUCCAGACUCCUACGGGAGGCAGCAGUGAGGAAUAUUGGUCAAUGGGCGUAAGCCUGAACCAGCCAAGUAGCGUGCAGGAUGACGGCCCUAUGGGUUGUAAACUGCUUUUAUGCGGGGAUAAAGGGACCCACGUGUGGGUUUUUGCAGGUACCGCAUGAAUAAGAACCGGCUAAUUCCGUG
rnacentral:rRNA from 1 species